rnacentral:rRNA from 1 species
CCUACGGGAUGCAGCAGUGAGGAAUAUUGGUCAAUGGGCGCGAGCCUGAACCAGCCAAGUAGCGUGAAGGAUGACUGCCCUACGGGUUGUAACCUUCUUUUAUAAAGUAAUAAAGUGAGGCUCCUGUGCCUUUUUGUAUGGACUUUAUGAAUACCGAUCGGCUAACUCCGUGCCAGCAGCCGCGGUAAUACGGAGGAUCCGAGCGUUAUCCGGAUUUAUUGGGUUUAAAGGGAGCGUAUAUGGGUUGUUAAGUCAGGUGUGAAAGUUUGCGGCUCAACCGUACAAUUGCAAUUGAUACUGGCAGCCUUGAGUACAGUUGAGGUAGGCGGAAUUCGGGGUGUAGCGGUGAAAUGCUUAGAUAUCACGAAGAACUCCGAUUGCGAAGGCAGCUUACUAAACUGCCACUGACAUUGAUGCUCGAAAGUGUGGGUAGCAAACAGGAUUAGAUACCCUAGUAGUC